rnacentral:rRNA from 1 species
GUCUACAGCUAUACCACCUGGAACACACCUGAUAGUGUCUGAUCUCAGAAGCUAAGCAGGGUCGGGCUUGGUUAGUACUUGGAUGGGAGAAACAAAUAUUGAUACU